UUAAGCGACUAAGCGUACACGGUGGAUGCCCUGGCAGUCAGAGGCGAUGAAGGACGUGCUAAUCUGCGAUAAGCGUCGGUAAGGUGAUAUGAACCGUUAUAACCGGCGAUUUCCGAAUGGGGAAACCCAGUGUGUUUCGACACACUAUCAUUAACUGAAUCCAUAGGUUAAUGAGGCGAACCGGGGGAACUGAAACAUCUAAGUACCCCGAGGAAAAGAAAUCAACCGAGAUUCCCCCAGUAGCGGCGAGCGAACGGGGAGCAGCCCAGAGCCUGAAUCAGUGUGUGUGUUAGUGGAAGCGUCUGGAAAGGCGCGCGAUACAGGGUGACAGCCCCGUACACAAAAAUGCACAUGCUGUGAGCUCGAUGAGUAGGGCGGGACACGUGGUAUCCUGUCUGAAUAUGGGGGGACCAUCCUCCAAGGCUAAAUACUCCUGACUGACCGAUAGUGAACCAGUACCGUGAGGGAAAGGCGAAAAGAACCCCGGCGAGGGGAGUGAAAAAGAACCUGAAACCGUGUACGUACAAGCAGUGGGAGCACGCUUAGGCGUGUGACUGCGUACCUUUUGUAUAAUGGGUCAGCGACUUAUAUUCUGUAGCAAGGUUAACCGAAUAGGGGAGCCGAAGGGAAACCGAGUCUUAACUGGGCGUUAAGUUGCAGGGUAUAGACCCGAAACCCGGUGAUCUAGCCAUGGGCAGGUUGAAGGUUGGGUAACACUAACUGGAGGACCGAACCGACUAAUGUUGAAAAAUUAGCGGAUGACUUGUGGCUGGGGGUGAAAGGCCAAUCAAACCGGGAGAUAGCUGGUUCUCCCCGAAAGCUAUUUAGGUAGCGCCUCGUGAAUUCAUCUCCGGGGGUAGAGCACUGUUUCGGCAAGGGGGUCAUCCCGACUUACCAACCCGAUGCAAACUGCGAAUACCGGAGAAUGUUAUCACGGGAGACACACGGCGGGUGCUAACGUCCGUCGUGAAGAGGGAAACAACCCAGACCGCCAGCUAAGGUCCCAAAGUCAUGGUUAAGUGGGAAACGAUGUGGGAAGGCCCAGACAGCCAGGAUGUUGGCUUAGAAGCAGCCAUCAUUUAAAGAAAGCGUAAUAGCUCACUGGUCGAGUCGGCCUGCGCGGAAGAUGUAACGGGGCUAAACCAUGCACCGAAGCUGCGGCAGCGACGCUUAUGCGUUGUUGGGUAGGGGAGCGUUCUGUAAGCCUGCGAAGGUGUGCUGUGAGGCAUGCUGGAGGUAUCAGAAGUGCGAAUGCUGACAUAAGUAACGAUAAAGCGGGUGAAAAGCCCGCUCGCCGGAAGACCAAGGGUUCCUGUCCAACGUUAAUCGGGGCAGGGUGAGUCGACCCCUAAGGCGAGGCCGAAAGGCGUAGUCGAUGGGAAACAGGUUAAUAUUCCUGUACUUGGUGUUACUGCGAAGGGGGGACGGAGAAGGCUAUGUUGGCCGGGCGACGGUUGUCCCGGUUUAAGCGUGUAGGCUGGUUUUCCAGGCAAAUCCGGAAAAUCAAGGCUGAGGCGUGAUGACGAGGCACUACGGUGCUGAAGCAACAAAUGCCCUGCUUCCAGGAAAAGCCUCUAAGCAUCAGGUAACAUCAAAUCGUACCCCAAACCGACACAGGUGGUCAGGUAGAGAAUACCAAGGCGCUUGAGAGAACUCGGGUGAAGGAACUAGGCAAAAUGGUGCCGUAACUUCGGGAGAAGGCACGCUGAUAUGUAGGUGAAGUCCCUCGCGGAUGGAGCUGAAAUCAGUCGAAGAUACCAGCUGGCUGCAACUGUUUAUUAAAAACACAGCACUGUGCAAACACGAAAGUGGACGUAUACGGUGUGACGCCUGCCCGGUGCCGGAAGGUUAAUUGAUGGGGUCAGCGCAAGCGAAGCUCUUGAUCGAAGCCCCGGUAAACGGCGGCCGUAACUAUAACGGUCCUAAGGUAGCGAAAUUCCUUGUCGGGU
rnacentral:rRNA from 1 species